GUAGUCCACGCCGUAAACGAUGAAUGCUCGGUGCUGCGGCGCUCUAGUCGCAGUGCCUAAGCUAACGCGUUAAGCAUUCCACCUGGGGAGUACGAUCGCAAGGUUGAAACUCAAAGGAAUUGACGGGGGCCCGCACAAGCGGUGGAGCAUGUGGCUUAAUUCGAUGCAACGCGAAGAACCUUACCUAGGCUCGAACGCUGCCGGACAGUCCCUGAAAGGGGAUCUUCUUCGGACCGGUAGCGAGGUGCUGCAUGGCUGUCGUCAGUUCGUGUCGUGAGAUGUUGGGUUAAGUCCCGCAACGAACGCAACCCCUAUCGCUAGUUACCAGCGGGUUAUGCCGGGGACUCUAGCGAGACUGCCUGCGCAAGCAGCGA
rnacentral:rRNA from 1 species